CCGCUGAACGCAUCUAAGCGGGAAACUCACCUCAAAACCAGGUUUCGCUUGAGAGCCGUGGAAGACGACCACGUCGAUAGGCCAGGUGUGUAAGCGCAGCAAUGCGUUGAGCUUACUGGUCCUAAUCGCUCGAUUGUAACACUUGA
rnacentral:rRNA from 1 species